UACGGGGGGGGGCAAGCGUUGCUCGGAAUCACUGGGCGUAAAGGGCGCGUAGGCGGGGAGGUAAGCUGGGUGUGAAAUCCCUCGGCCCAACCGAGGAACUGCGCCCGAGACUGCUUCUCUUGAGUCCCGGAGAGGAAGGUGGAAUUCCAGGUGUAGCGGUGAAAUGCGUAGAUAUCUGGAGGAACACCGGUGGCGAAGGCGGCAUCCUGGACCGGUAUUGACGCUGAGGCGCGAAAGCUAGGGGAGCAAACGGG
rnacentral:rRNA from 1 species